ACUCUUCACUGGACUCAAUUCGCAUAGUAAACUGUGAGGGCUUCAAAACAAUACCCUGGCAUGAGGAACGGUCAACACCUUACAGCUUAGAAAAGACCCUAGAAUACUAGAAAUCAAUAGUCCCCAACCUUUGGUAGUCCACAGGCAACAAUACUGAGCAAGUGACAUUGUAGGCAACAGCAUACGCCCUAUUCUUUCUUUUACUUUUUUUAGCAUUCUGUGGCUGUAAGCAGAAUCAAAGGGUCCACAGGAAACAUGCUACCUGUGAGCCAUACAUCAGAGACACUACUGCCACAAAAAGCCUUUAUCCUAAAGAACCUCAGGAUUCUUUCACAAACAAAUAUAUCCAGAAAUAACUUCCUCCACCAGUAAAGUACAGCCACCUCUGAAGUAGAGCACACAACUGUAUUGCACAGCAGCUUGGGACAUGUGGAAUUCUAUCCAGUGAAAACUGAAGGGAAAAUUUAGGAAGGUGCAAAUACAGUCUCUGCUUGGGCAGUAAUUUGGCCAGAACACUGGCAUUAAUAUAACUAUCCCUCUUGCAAAAAAGUGUCUAUAGUCUUUGCCAACUGGAGCCUGGACUUCUAUUUUACCUGAAAUUCACCCCUGCCAGCACACAAUCCUUUGGUACUUCUUUGGACAAAUAGCAAAAGAAAGCACUAGCAAAUUCUUAUCCACAUCAAUUCCUAGAGCACACAGAUAUGCUGUAUUACAGCUUCCAAAUAUUAAGUGGAAACCUGAAUAGUGUACAAGAUGUGCCAGUCACAGUGCAAACAGAUGUGGACUACAGACAGCACAGGAGAGGGUUUUGCAUGAUGCUCGAUAAGGACUUCGUGAACAAACAUACAUUUAUAGUGGCUUCAAAAGGGGAAGGGGAACUGCUGCUCAGAAGCAAACAGCAGCUAUUAUGCUAUAAUUGUUGUGUUUGCAUGACCCUGUAAUGAUACAAGCAAGCUAAAUUGGCCCAACUUUGUCCACAGAUGAAGCAGGUAGAGAGGAGGCUAUGUCUGGCAGAGGUGGAAGCAAAUGGAGAAGUGUUUGCAGAGGUUGAUGGGAAGUGACCACAAAGGACCAUGAGAGGAGAGCAACUUUCUUUGCACAGAGGUGACAAGAUAGCAUUUAUAUGCAUCCUGGAUGCAAGACAAGGGCAGAAAUGCUUUUCGAUGAAAAAAAAUGUUGAAAGGAGAGAAAACAAAACAACACAAAACAUGGAUGUGAGAAAACUUUCCCUAGUAAAACCAUGAGGGAUCAGAGUCACUCAAGCAUGGCAGCUAGAAACUUGCUAUAUCAUCUUCAUUAUCAAUAUUAUUAUUAUACAAGUACAUCAUAAUUAAUAAUCUCCCACAAAAAUGUUCAAAUGCAAAGAAGUAAGAGACCCCAUGACACUUUAAUCAUAAGCAGUGCAGAUCAUUUUGUAAUUGGUUCAAGUGAAUCCUCUGGUUUGGUUAGAAACCAAAACACUGUGAAGCCCACGGAGGAAUCUAAACUCUCAGACACAACUGGGUUUUAGCCAUUUACAUUAGGAAAGUAGCUGAUAUUGCUGCU